UACAGAGGUCUCAAGCGUUAUUCGGAUUCAUUGGGCGUAAAGGGUGCGUAGGUGGUGAUGCAAGUCUGGUGUGAAAUCUCGGAGCUCAACUCCGAAAUUGCACCGGAUACUGCGUGACUCGAGGACUGUAGAGGAGAUCGGAAUUCACGGUGUAGCAGUGAAAUGCGUAGAUAUCGUGAGGAAGACCAGUUGCGAAGGCGGAUCUCUGGGCAGUUCCUGACACUGAGGCACGAAGGCCAGGGGAGCAAACGGG
rnacentral:rRNA from 1 species